rnacentral:rRNA from 1 species
UCCGUAGGGGCCGAGCGUUGUCCGGAAUUAUUGGGCGUAAGGAGCUCGUAGGCGGCCUGUUGCGUCCGCUGUGAAAGCCCGGGGCUUAACCCCGGGUCGGCAGUGGAUACGGGCAGGCUAGAGGUAGGUAGGGGAGAAUGGAAUUCCCGGUGUAGCGGUGAAAUGCGCAGAUAUCGGGAGGAACACCGGUGGCGAAGGCGGUGCUCUGGGCCUUACCUGACGCUGAGGAGCGAAAGCGUGGGGAGCGAACAGG